UUUUUAUAGAAAUAAUUAUAAAUAAAAUCUGCUCAAUGUGUGUAUAUAUAUACAUAUAAAUAGCCGCAAAUACUGUGCAAAGGUAGCAUAAUCAUUAGUCUUUUAAUUAAAGACUUGUAUGAAAGAUUUAACAAUUUUAUUACUUUUUUUAAUUUAAUAUCUUUAAAUUAUACUAUAAAUAAAAAUAUUUAUAUCUAAAUAAAAGACGAUAAGACCCUAUUAAACUUUACUUUAGUUAAGCUGGGGAAGCUGAUUAAUUAUUAUUUUAAUAUAAUUUUUUAAAAAUUAUCCCUGUAAUACAGAUAAUAUUAAGUUACUAUAGGGAUAACAGCGUAAUUUUUUUUAAUAGAUCUUAUUUAAAAAAAAUAUUGCGACCUCGAUGUUGAAUUAGUUACCUAAAAAAUGCAAUAAUCUUUAAAGGUGGUCUGUUCGACCAAUAAUUUUCUACA
rnacentral:rRNA from 1 species